rnacentral:lncRNA from 1 species
CAUUUGACUUCACUUGAACAUUGGCAAUGAGACAGAGACAGUCAAGGUCUGUUAGUUCUGCAAGGAAAGUUACUUAAAAUCGUUUUUGAGAUUAGUGUUACAUUCUGUUAUUUUGUUGAGUUAACUGAAGGGUGUCCAAGUUUUCUGUAGUGUAGUUAUUUAUAGUAUGCUUGAUUUCAAUGUGAUUCACAUCGUUUCGUAUUAUAUCAUCGCCAUGCUUCCGAACGUGGUAAACGUGGUAAUUCAGCUGUAGGAGUUGUAACUUCGUGAAACAAUCUCUGGAGAUUUGCUCAGGUAGUGCAUCUACCUGUCUCAUGCUGUGAAAGGAAAAUGUAGAGGGCUUCCGAUGGGAGGCGGGGUCGACCGUUUUUCGUUUCCUAGUCAGCGACGUGUCCCACAGGAUUGUCUUUUGUUGGUGGGAUGUUGGAUGACAGGUGCUUGCAGCUUGAUUUUCUGGAUUUCAUUCUGUGGAGGCUUAUGUGACCGAGUGGUGGCUGUCGUAUGUCUUUCAGGCUAUUGAGCUCAUUACUUCGGAUUUCUAAGGAUCAUUUGAUCUAACUUUGUAUUUUAUUGUCUCGGGUGAUGGUGUGCAGCUCUCGAUUCUACAAUGCAGAAAUUUUUGAGGUAAUUACAAGUCUUGUCAAUAAAUUACUAUUCCGAUCGCCACGCCUCCUCCUCAAUCGAUGGGGAGGAAGGUGCCUAAAUUACGAACGGGGAAAUUAUGGUCACGUAGGAAGCAACUGAGAUUGCAUUGAUCUUCAGGUUGUGCCUUAAACGGAGACGACACUGGGCGUAGAUGGACAUUUAAGUUUAUUGUUAACUUUCUAUUUCAGUCUUUCUGUACCGUGUGAUGCCGUGCCGCCGAAGUAUUAGUGAGUGGCAGGUAACUGUUAAUUUCCUAGUUUUUCCACUUAACGUCCCAUAUGAUUUUUCAUCUUUCGGGUCUGAAUGUAUUUGGAUGACAACUUAUUUUUGCUGAUGGAACAUUGUAUUAAGUUUCAUCAUUUCUUUUAUAUGAUACUUUUUAACGUGGUAAAUUUUUUUCGAAAGGUUGCGAUGUGGUGCGGUUUGCAGCUAGCUUUGUCAAGGCGGAUCUUCUCAGACGGUUAUCCUAGAAUUGUGAGAUGAGACUGGAGGAUUUUAGGAAAUUUACAACAAAGGCACAAAGGUUUCUGAAGUCAAUCAAAAUAUUAGACAUGCAUGACUCUGAGGAAAGCUAUUUUUUUUGUAUUGAAUGAAGUCUUGAUUCCUAUUAAUCCAUGUGUUUUGAAACCUUCAUUUAUUUAGGUGCCAAGAAGAAGAGGUUGCUUUGGGGUUUCCUGUGGGUGCCUUCUGUAUGAUGUGGAGGUUGUUUUUGGGUAAUAGCCUGGUGGACUUCAACCCACAGGAGCUGCUGGACCAACAGCCUAGGAUGUUGCUGCUGCAAAUAUUCUGAGAUACAAUGGUGGUACAAACUGAUUUAUUGAGACUGAGAAAACUACACUUGUCAAAAUACGAGACAUUUCGUGUAACUCGUUUUAACGAGUUUUAUUUUAGGCGGCCGCGCAUAUUAAGGACUGAACUGUUACUGUACAAUUGCAAACGAUAUAGUCUUCCUUUAACAGGCGAGAAACAGGCCGUCACAGUAAUUCAAGUAUUCGUCUUCUGAAAUUCGCUCAAUCCUUAAUCUGUCGUCCUUAGAUGCCGUGUUAUAGUGGGAAGUCAACGUACAGUUUCAGGUCAAUACUUCGCAGCUUCAUCUAGCAUUACCUUACAGCGCGACAUGUAUUCAGUUCGGAGGCUGCUAUUCUUUCGUGGAACGUUGUCUGAGUCGGUUUCUAGCUCAUUCUUGGAUAUCCUUUCAUUGUUGAAUUAAAUUGGAAAUUCACUUAAUUUGUUACACAGUUAAUUUUUUGUAUCAUAACUUUGUUUCUCAAAUACAAAUUUCAGGGAAUUUCUAAA